AGUGAUGUGCAGGGGUUUAAAAAGUACAGCUUGGGAAAUAUAAAGAUGAUGGUUAUUUUAAAGAAGAAGCCUGACACAUUGGAGACUUAACCAUCUUCAAAGGACAAUGCUACAAUUCAAGGAAGUCGACAGUUGUCUCAAUUAUACAGUUUUGCCUUUUUUUUGUACCAUAGUCUAAGUUUGUAUUUUGAUUGCCUAGAAGGUAAUCGUUUACAUCACUUUGGGAGAGGGAGUGAAAACGGGCAGUCAAUCAGUGUCUGAAAAGAGAAAAUACACCCAAUACAGAGGCUAGUAAGGAGCACUUCCAGUGCACAAAGUUAAUGUCUUAACAGAUUACAAGAUCAAGUCAUUAACAUGAACCAAAAGGACAAACUCGUCAAAAGCAAAACUCACUUUCCCUUGGCUUUUCUUUCCCUUUUCAUCACGGGUCAUCACAGCAGAAUGAACUAGCAAUUACUGUGGUACAUGCUUUUUUCACCAGAUGCUCUCAUAUGCAGAAUUGACCAGAGCACCCGAAGGAAACCCACGCAAACAUGGGGUGAACAUGCAAACUCCACACCUGGCACACCUGAGACUCGAACCAGUGACCUUCUUGCUUUGAGGCAACAGUGAUGACCACGGAGCUACCAUGUGGCCCCUUUUGUAUUCACAUUAUAUUAGUGACAGUUUUCCCCUCAAGGUAUUUCAGUAAAUAAUUGUUGUGAUUUUAUAUAAUUGACAAUAAAUUGUUUGUAUUUAUA